AACGAACGCUGGCGGCAUGCCUAACACAUGCAAGUCGAACGAGACCUUCGGGUCUAGUGGCGCACGGGUGCGUAACGCGUGGGAACCUGCCCUUAGGUUCGGAAUAACUCCCCGAAAGGGGUGCUAAUACCGGAUAAUGUCUUCGGACCAAAGAUUUAUCGCCUUUGGAUGGGCCCGCGUUGGAUUAGCUAGUUGGUAGGGUAAAAGCCUACCAAGGCGACGAUCCAUAGAUGGUCUGAGAGGAUGAUCAGCCACACUGGGACUGAGACACGGCCCAGACUACUACGGGAGGCAGCAGUGGGGAAUAUUGGACAAUGGGCGAAAGCAUGAUCCAGCAAUGCCGCGUGAGUGAUGUAGGCCUUAGGGUUGUAAAGCUCUUUUAGACGGGAUGAUAAUGACAGUACCGGGAGAAUAAGCACCGGCUAACUACGUG
rnacentral:rRNA from 1 species